CUUGCUCCACCGGAAAAAGAAGAGUGGCGAACGGGUGAGUAACACGUGGGUAACCUGCCCAUCAGAAGGGGAUAACACUUGGAAACAGGUGCUAAUACCGUAUAACAAUCGAAACCGCAUGGUUUUGAUUUGAAAGGCGCUUUCGGGUGUCGCUGAUGGAUGGACCCGCGGUGCAUUAGCUAGUUGGUGAGGUAACGGCUCACCAAGGCCACGAUGCAUAGCCGACCUGAGAGGGUGAUCGGCCACAUUGGGACUGAGACACGGCCCAAACUCCUACGGGAGGCAGCAGUAGGGAAUCUUCGGCAAUGGACGAAAGUCUGACCGAGCAACGCCGCGUGAGUGAAGAAGGUUUUCGGAUCGUAAAACUCUGUUGUUAGAGAAGAACAAGGAUGAGAGUAACUGUUCAUCCCUUGACGGUAUCUAACCAGAAAGCCACGGCUAACUACGUGCCAGCAGCCGCGGUAAUACGUAGGUGGCAAGCGUUGUCCGGAUUUAUUGGGCGUAAAGCGAGCGCAGGCGGUUUCUUAAGUCUGAUGUGAAAGCCCCCGGCUCAACCGGGGAGGGUCAUUGGAAACUGGGAGACUUGAGUGCAGAAGA
rnacentral:rRNA from 1 species